CUACAAAAUGGAGUUAUUCAAAAGGAAAUGAAAUGUUUUUUGGUUUCCAAAAGGCUGAACAUCUCAUUUUCUGUCCUCUGUAGCGGUUUAUAAUUACAAAUCCUUGACAAUUUGUAACUCUGUAAUAGAAAUUAAUAUCUUUUAUCUAAAGAAUAUUUUAUGUUCAAUACACUAUAAUUCAACAAGAAAACUUCCUACAAAAUUACUUUUAUAGUAAAUUGUAAUAAAAUUUUAGUAUUUUUUAAUAUAAACAAUAACUUUAAUAAAAAUAAAAUUUUAUAUACCAAA